AGCCCAACUCUAGCCCGACCACUCCGCCCCAAUUCAAUUCAUACCAAAUGAACUUCCCCCAUAUAACCAAAACAUUCAACACACCUAGUAUAGGCGAUAGAAAAGGACCUACAUCACGGCGCCAUAGAGACCCCGUACCGCAAGGGAAAGAUGAAAUAAUAAUGAAACCCCAAGCACAAAGAAGUAAAGAUUAACCCUUGUACCUCUUGCAUCAUGGUUCAGCAAGAAUUAGCCAAGCAAAGUGCCCUUAAGUUUGCCACCCCGAAACCUGAGCGAGCUACUCACAAGCAGCUAAUCACUGAGCCAACCCGUCUCUGUAGCAAAAGAGUGGGACGACUUGUUAGUAGAGGUGAAAAGCCUAACGAGCCAGGUGAUAGCUGGUUGCCUGUGAAAAGAAUCUAAGUUCUCCCUUGACUACUCCCCUCGCACUCCCCACUGCUCAUGUAACUAGUCAAGAGCUACUUAAAGGAGGUACAGCUCCUUUAAARGAGGUACAGCUCCUUUAAAAAAGAAAACAACCUACUCAAGCGGAUAAACCUGCUUUCUCCCACCUGUUGGCCUUUAAGCAGCCACCAACAAAGAGUGCGUCAAAGCUCCUACUCCCAAAAAUACCUAAACAACGUGAAUCCCCAACCACCAACAGGCCAACCUAUGCCAAUAGGAGAAUUAAUGCUGAAAUAAGUAACUAGGGACCCCCCUCUUCUAAGCGCAAACUUACAUCCCUCAUUAUUACUCAAAAUAUGAUACCUCAACUACCACAAGCCCAUCCUAUCCACCCACAUUGUUAAGACCAACCCAGGAGCGCCCAACAACAGAAAGACACAACUUUGUAGAAGGAACUAGGCAAACCUAAGGCCCGACUGUUUACCAAAAACAUAGCCUUCAGCCCACCAAGUAUUGAAGGUGAUGCCUGCCCAGUGACUUAUGUUCAACGGCCGCGGUAUCCUAACCGUGCGAAGGUAGCGCAAUCAAUUGUCCCAUAAAUCGGGACUUGUAUGAAUGGCUAAACGAGGUCUUGACUGUCUCCUACAAACUGUCAGUGAAAUUAAUCCCCCUGUGCAAAAGCAGGAAUAACCCCAUAAGACGAGAAGACCCUGUGGAACUUAAAAAUCAAUGGCCAAUCCUACACUUACUACCACCCUACUAGGCCCUCUAACUCAACCAAACCACCUGGCCAACAUUUUUCGGCUGGGGCGGCCCUGGAGAAAAACAAAGCCUCCAGAAACAGGACCACACCCCUAACCUAGGGCAACCUCCCAACGUGCUAAUAGCAACCAGACCCAGUACAACUGAGCAAUGAACCAAGCUACCCCAGGGAUAACAGCGCAAUCCCCUCCAAGAGCCCAUAUCGACAAGGGGGUUUACGACCUCGAUGUUGGAUCAGGACAUCCUAAUGGUGCAGCCGCUAUUAAGGGUUCGUUUGUUCAACGAUUAACAGUCCUACGUGAUCUGAGUUCAGACCGGAGCAAUCCAGGUCGGUUUCUAUCUAUGACAAGAUCUUUCCUAGUACGAAAGGACCGGAAAGACAAGGCCCAUACUACAAGCAUGCCUUCUCCUCAAGCAAGGAAUACAACUAAACUGCUAAAAGGACUUCACACCAUCAAUCCUAGAAAAGGACA
rnacentral:rRNA from 1 species